AUCGACGUUGCCGGAGAGGCCACCUCAUCACCGCCGGUGCACAUACACACACACACGCACACGCACCAGAGCGCGCGCACUGAGGCGUCUGCCUUUCCGUGUUCGGCCCUCCGUCGCCGCCCUACCACCACCCCUACACACAGUAGCACUAUCAUGCCGAACCCCAGCGCAGAUGCUGUGACUCUUGCAACUGCAGAGGAGGCAAAGGUGGCGGGGCAGCCGACACCGAAGGCGCCGCCACUCGAGCCGAUUAUUCCAGGCUGCACCCCGUACAAGUACUACCGCGUCCCUGACGGACUCAAGCGAGUGCGCAGGAAGCAGAAAGUCGGCAUCAUCUUCGGCUAUGUCGGUGAGUGCUACUGCGGGCUGCAGUGGAACCACCUUCCGGAGUAUCCGACAGUCGAGGAAGCGCUCAUGAAGGCGCUCUUCGAGACGGACAUGAUCAGCGAAGUGAAUUUUUCCAACGUAAAGGUGCAGCAGCUGCUCAACUUCGAGCGGGCCAGCCGCACCGACAAGGGUGUGCAUGCGCUUCGCAACGUCGUGUCCGUGGCUGUCAUGCUGCCCUACGACCCCUCGUAUACCAAGAAGCGUGUAGCAGCCCUGCAGGAGCACGCCGAAGGCGCGGCCGCUGGUGAGGUCUACAACGCAGACGGCGACGUCGAAGACGACGCAAACAGCGCGCAGGCCGCCGUCUUCAGCUGCGACGAGGCCAAGCGGCUGCUGAACGAGGCCCUUCCCCGCGAUAUCCACGUCUACGCCGUCGUGCCGGUGACUCGCAGCUUUAACGCCUACCUGAACUGUGGCGGGCGCCGCUACGAGUACUACCUGCCCACCUUCGCGCUUAUGACAGCGGCGGAAUACACCAAGACGUACUUUCCAGCCUUUCUGGCGCCCUCCAAGCCAACGUUAAAGGAGGUGGGUUUUGUGCCCGGCAAGCAUGGCAAGCGCGACCCCCCGCGCGCCGCCACGGUGACGGACGAGGAAGAAGAGGCGCGGCGUCGCAAGCACAAGAACAGCGCGCGCAAGAGCAAGGGACACUUCCCGAAGCGCAAGAAUGCCAAGGUGGCUGCACGUGCUGUGGCGGCGGCAACAACUGGGGCCGCGCCGCCAGACUCGACGUCACCGCUGGAAGGGAAGGGUGAUGUCUCCGCAGCUGAGGCCACGGCGCCACUGCACACCGAGCCCCUAGUCUUGUACUCUGAGACCCCUGCCAGGCCGACGAGCACAGUCGCGCUGAACGAUGGCGAGGAGGGGAAGGACGAGAGCGACGUGGAGAGUCAAGACAGCGACGCGGAGGUGCAGGCCGCGCUGGAGCGCGCCGCAGAGGCCCGCCCGUACGAGGACAACUACGCGACACACUUCCACGAUGGUCUCUUUGAGUCCAUGAUUCUCUUCCGCAGCAUACCGGCUGACGCGAUGCGCCACGUCGCCAACUACCGCCUCCCCGUGGAACAGCUGCAGCACGUUCGCCACCUCUUCCACGAGUACGAGGGGACGCACUGCUACCACAACUUCACCCCGGGCGGCCGCAGCUACGACGCUUCGUGUUACCGCUUCAUCCGCAGCGUCGUCGUGAGUGACCCUUUCGUUGUGUCGCCAGAGGAGGAACUGCUGCAGCACAGCAUUAAUAGCUGGUCUCUCAAUCACUUCUACUCCCCCGACGAGCGGGUGGCCGUGACGUAUGAAGAGUGGAUGACCGAAGGCGAGACGGCGGAGCUGCAGGGCGCCGCCGCGUCUGUCUCCGAGCAAGGAAAGCGGCAGAUCCCGAAGAGUGCGGACGCGGCGCUGCGGGAGCGCAUGCGUCAACACAUUCGCGACGUCUACGCCGGCGGCAUUGAAGUUGUGCGCAUCGAGCUGGAUGGACAGAGCUUCAUGCUGAACCAGAUUCGCAAGAUGAUUGGCGCGGUGGUCUGCAUUGCCGCCGGCGGCCUCCCUGACAGCUACAUCCGCGACGUCCUGCUGCGCAAGGGCGUGCGGCGAGGCAUCCCGAUGGCGCCAGCCAACGGUCUCUUCCUUUCGUACUUGGACUUCUCCGGCUACAAUCGGCGACUGGAGCGCAUUCAAAAUGAUGGCAACAACGGCGCCGGCAAAGGCACGCUCGACGUGGAGGCUGGCGUGGACGCCGACGAGGUCGAGGCGCAGCGUCGCCGCAUCAUCGCCGUGGUGUUGCGCAACGAGAUGGCGGAGGACAUCAUGGGGAAGUGGAUGCGCUCUCUCCGCCACGUGCUACGGCUGGCGUGGAAGCGCAGCCUCGAUUAAGCAGGAACGAUGGUGAAGGGGCUCCCUAUCACAGGGGGGGGGCUACAGAAAACAACAACCUGUGCUGUGGUGUGGAGGAGGAGGCGAAAGCCGUCCAUAUCUGCGAGGUGGAUGAGCCGGCAUCCUCUCAUUACCCUCCCCCCUGCUCGUGCGGUGUAAUGGCGCGCAGUGCCUCUUUAUACCGUCAGCGAGGAAGGCCUCGAACGGCUCACAGGAAAGUGCUUGACUGUUAAACGCGCUUGUGCUUGUCUGUAUGGGUGGUAUGAGGGACACGACGUUGGUGUGGCAAGAUCAAUUCGCAAGUGCAGCCCCCACGCAAGCACACAGCCACGCAUGUCUCACAUACGCCGUCCUCUCUUGUGCCCUCGCCAGCGCAGGCUGCACGCUCAUCAGCUGUGUGAUGGCGUGUCGUCUCGCGUGCGCUACGAAACGUUAUCAGGGUUGACGCCCCAAAAGAGAAC
rnacentral:misc_RNA from 1 species